AAUAAGUACAGUUUUACACUGUUCAUAUCCAACGUUUAACCGUUUGUCUUAUUUGAAUUUUUUUUAUGAUUAGUACUUCAUGUGUGACUAAUUUUUUAAAAAAAUUUAAAUAAGAUGGAUGGUCAAUCGUUGGACACAUAUAUCUAAAUCUGUGCUUAUU
rnacentral:pre_miRNA from 1 species